CGCACGGGUGAGUAACACGUAUCCAACCUGCCGUCUACUCUUGGACAGCCUUCUGAAAGGAAGAUUAACACAAGAUGGCAUCAUGAGUUCACAUGUUCACAUGAUUAAAGGUAUUCCGGUAGACGAUGGGGAUGCGUUCCAUUAGAUAGUAGGCGGGGUAACGGCCCACCUAGUCUUCGAUGGAUAGGGGUUCUGAGAGGAAGGUCCCCCACAUUGGAACUGAGACACGGUCCAA
rnacentral:rRNA from 1 species